rnacentral:rRNA from 1 species
AGAGUUUGAUCCUGGCUCAGGAUGAACGCUGGCGGUCUGCUUAACACAUGCAAGUCGAACGGAACUUUUCGGAGUUCAGUGGCGGACGGGUGAGUAACGCGUGAGAAUCUGCCUUCUGGUCGGGGACAACCACUGGAAACGGUGGCUAAUACCGGAUGAGCCUACGGGUAAAAGAUUUAUUGCCAGAAGAGGAGCUCGCGUCUGAUUAGCUAGUUGGUGAGGUAAAGGCUCACCAAGGCAUCGAUCAGUAGCUGGUCUGAGAGGAUGACCAGCCACACUGGGACUGAGACACGGCCCAGACUCCUACGGGAGGCAGCAGUGGGGAAUUUUCCGCAAUGGGCGAAAGCCUGACGGAGCAAGACCGCGUGAGGGAGGAAGGCUCUUGGGUUGUAAACCUCUUUUCUUGGGGAAGAAAAAAAUGACGGUACCCAAGGAAUCAGCAUCGGCUAACUCCGUGCCAGCAGCCGCGGUAAUACGGAGGAUGCAAGCGUUAUCCGGAAUUAUUGGGCGUAAAGCGUCCGCAGGUGGCACUUCAAGUCUGCUGUCAAAGGUCGGGGCUUAACCCCGGGAAGGCAGUGGAAACUGAAGCGCUAGAGUGUCGUAGGGGUAGAGGGAAUUCCCGGUGUAGCGGUGAAAUGCGUAGAGAUCGGGAAGAACAUCGGUGGCGAAAGCGCUCUACUGGACGACAACUGACACUCAGGGACGAAAGCUAGGGGAGCGAAUGGGAUUAGAUACCCCAGUAGUCC